rnacentral:lncRNA from 1 species
UCCUAGGGAUUCUAUCUCCAGCGUUGCCCUUGGGUUUUCUUUAUUGUGUCUACUUCCCUUUUUAGGACUAGUAUGGUUUUGUUUAUUUCCAUCAUCUGUUUGGAUGUGUUUUCCUGCUUUUCUUUAAAGACUUCUACUUGUUUGGUUGUGUUUUCCUGUUUUUCUUUAAGGACUUGUACCUCUUUAGCAGUGUUCUCCUAUAUUUCUUUAAGUGUGUUAGUAAAGUCCUUCUUGAUGUCCUCUACCAUCAUCAUGAGAUAUGCUUUUAAAUCCGGGUCUAGGUUUUCGGGAGUGUUUGGGUGCCCAGGACUGGGUGAGGUGGGAGUUCUGUGUUCUGAUGAUGGUGAAUAGUCUUGUUUCUGUUAGUAAGAUUCUUACAUUUGCCUUUUGCCAUUUGGCAUUGUCUGGAGUUAGUUGUUAUAGUUGUCUCUGGUUAGAGCUUGUUCCUCUCAUGAUUCUGUUAGCCUCUAUCAGCAGACCUGGGAGACUAGAUCUCUCCUGAGUUUCAGUGGAUAGAGCAUUCUGUGCAGGCAAGCUCUCCUCCUGCAGGGAAGGUGCACAGAUAUCUGGUGUUCAGACCUGCCUCCUGGCAGAAGAUGAAGGCCCAAAACAGGGCCUGUCCCAGAAGCUGUUAGGUUCUAUAGUCCACACUCUCAUCUGUGCAGACUAGUCUCGGAAGGAUCUGGGAACCAAGAUGGCUCCUCCAGGUGCUCUGGCAAAGCCCUCCCAGGCGGGGCAGACACCUCUCCUCUGGCAGGGAAAGUGCCUGGAUGUCUGGAGUCUGAAAUGGGGUCUGCCUUAGAAGCUAGGGACCUUACGGGUGUCCGCCAACUCCUCGCCCAAGGUGACCAGGUGCUAUUGCCAUCUGGAAUGUACUUGUGAUCCUGGUCAGGCAGGGUUUUUUGCUUCCCUAAAGCUGUCUCAGGUCCCACGCAAUUGGAAUGGAACAGAAGUUGUGUUCCACUCACCAGUGAUCCUAAAAUCUCAUGGAGAGUCCUCUAGGGACCUUGGAGGUAUCUGCCAACUCCAUGCCCAAGGUGACCCUAAGGGGUUGUUCUUGAUUGUUUUGGUUGUCUUGAACUCUUCGUGUUUCCAUAUGGAAGAUUAAUACUUACUAGGUUGUAAAUUACUUCCACUUGACAAUGACCAGAGGUGACUGAAACACUCUUUCACUCUUGUAAGAUGUGUGAUGAUGUUCCAGUUUCUGUGUUCACGACUGGUAGGAAAACAGUAAAUCAUGACACUUCCCAUGUGAUUGAUGAAUAUGUGAGGAGAAGGAAACACAAAUAUAAGAAAGUCUUAGGAUCCAGAUUGGCUACUUCAAAAAGUUUCUGAACAGUUUAUUGGAAUUGAUACCAUAAAGAAAAAAAAAGAAACUAUAGUUUGAUGUCAACAGAUGACAGUGUUUAUUUAUACAUGCCAACAUGAGAAGCAACAUGAGAAGCAGCCUCUCUCCAAUGGGAAAUAUAGAAGUCUCCAGAGGAAUACGCUGGCUCAGACACUGUAUAGAGGGAGUAGAGUACCUUGAGAAAGAGGAAUUUAAAGGGGUUAUAAAGGCUAUGUGAGGAUGCACGGU